AUUGAACGCUGGCGGCAGGCCUAACACAUGCAAGUCGAGCGGAUGAAGGGAGCUUGCUCCUGGAUUCAGCGGCGGACGGGUGAGUAAUGCCUAGGAAUCUGCCUGGUAGUGGGGGAUAACGUCCGGAAACGGGCGCUAAUACCGCAUACGUCCUGAGGGAGAAAGUGGGGGAGCUUCGGACCUCACGCUAUCAGAUGAGCCUAGGUGGGAUUAGUUAGUUGGGGGGGUAACGGCCUACCAAGGCGACGAUCCGAAACUGGUCUGAGAGGAUGAUCAGGCACACUGGAACUGAGACACGUUCCAGACUCCUACGGGAGGCAGCAGUGGGGAAUAUUGGACAAUGGGCGAAAGCCUGAUCCAGCCAUGUCGCGUGUGUGAAGAAGGUCUUCGGAUUGUAAAGCACUUUAAGUUGGGAGGAAGGGCAGUAAGUUAAUACCUUGCUGUUUUGACGGUACCAACAGAAUAAGCACCGGCUAACUUCGUG
rnacentral:rRNA from 1 species